rnacentral:rRNA from 1 species
CGUAUCUUUGAGGCGGUCUUACCAUGCAAGUCGAACGAUGACGGUGGUGCUUGCACCGCCUGAUUAGUGGCGAACGGGUGAGUAACACGUGAGUAACCUGCCCUCCACUUCGGGAUAACCUCGGGAAAUCGUGGCUAAUACCGGAUAUGAGCACUCAUCGCAUGGUGGGUGUUGGAAAGAUUUAUCGGUGGGGGAUCCCCGGGACAGACUCUUACAUUUAGUUGCAAAAGCGUGGGGAGCAAACAGGAUUAGAUACUUUGGUAGUCCACGCCGUAAACGAUGUCUACUUGGAGGUUGGGGCCUUGAGCCGUGGUUUUCGGAGCUAACGCGUUAAGUAGACCGCCUGGGGAGUACGGUUUGCAAGAUAAAACUUAAAUGAAUUGACGGGGGCCCGCACAAGCGGUGGAGCAUGUGGUUUAAUUCGAUGCAACGCGAAGAACCUUACCUACUCUUGACAUCCACAGAAUCCUGCGGAGACGCGGGAGUGCCUUCGGGAACUGUGAGACAGGUGCUGCAUGGCUGUCGUCAGCUCGUGUUGUGAAAUGUUGGGUUAAGUUCCCGCAACGAGCGCAACCCUUAUCCUUGUUUGCCAGCGAGUAAUGUCGGGAACUCCAGGGAGACUGCCGGUGAUAAACCGGAGGAAGGUGGGGACGACUUAAGUUAUCAUGGCCCUUACGAGUAGGGCUACACACGUGCUACAAUGGCGCAUACAGAGGGCAGCGAACUUGCGAGAGUAAUGCGAAUCUCAAUAAGUG